GGGAUAGCCCAGGGAAACCUGGAUUAACUACCGGAUGAGACGGGACCCGCGAUGGCGGGAUCCGGGAAAGGCGCUGCGGCGCCGCCGGGGGAUGAGUCUGCGUCCCAUUAGCUAGACGGCGGGGUAACGGCCCACCGUGGCGACGAUGGGUAGCCGGCCUGAGAGGGUGGACGGCCACAUUGGAACUGAGACACGGUCCAGACUCCUACGGGAGGCAGCAGCUAAGAAUCUUCCGCAAUGGGCGAAAGCCUGACGGAGCGACGCCGACGUGAACGAAGAAGGCCGUGAGGUGUAAAGUUCUUUCGGGAGGGGGAACAACCGUGGCAGGGAAUGGCCGCGGGAUGACGUGAAUCCCGGAAUAAGCCCCGGCUAACUACGUGCCAGCAGCUGC
rnacentral:rRNA from 1 species